rnacentral:rRNA from 1 species
UACGUAGGGGGCAAGCGUUGUCCGGAGUUACUGGGCGUAAAGCGCACGCAGGCGGUCUGUUAAGUUUGGAGUGACAGUUGGUGGCUCAACUACCAAAGUGCCUUGAAAACUGACAGACUUGAGGACUUCAGAGGGACACGGAAUUCCGGGUGGAGUGGUGAAAUGCGUAGAGAUCCGGAGGAACACCAAAGGCGAAGGCAGUGUCCUGGGGAGUACCUGACGCUCAGGUGCGAAAGCCAGGGGAGCGAACGGG